CUGCAAGUCGAACGGCAGCAUGAUCUAGCUUGCUAGAUUGAUGGCGAGUGGCGGACGGGUGAGUAACGCGUAGGAAUAUGCCUUGAAGAGGGGGAUAACCUGAGGAAACUCAGGCUAAUACCGCGUAAUCUCUGAGGAGAAAAGCUGGGGACCUUAUGGCCUGGCGCUUCAAGAAUAGCCUGCGUUCGAUUAGCUAGUUGGUGGGGUAAAGGCCUACCAAGGCGACGAUCGAUAGCUGGUCUGAGAGGAUGAUCAGCCACACUGGGACUGAGACACGGCCCAGACUCCUACGGGAGGCAGCAGUGGGGAAUAUUGGACAAUGGGGGCAACCCUGAUCCAGCAAUGCCGCGUGUGUGAAGAAGGCCUGAGGGUUGUAAAGCACUUUCAGUGGGGAGGAGGCUUGAUAGGUUAAGAGCUAAUUAAGCGGACGUUACCCACAGAAGAAGCACCGGCUAACUCCGUGCCAGCAGCCGCGGUAAUACGGAGGGUGCGAGCGUUAAUCGGAAUUACUGGGCGUAAAGGGUGCGUAGGUUGUUCAUUAAGUUAUCUGUGAAAUUCCCGGGCUUAACCUGGGGUGGUCAGAUAAUACUGGUGGACUAGAGUAUAGGAGAGGGUAGUGGAAUUUCCGGUGUAGCGGUGAAAUGCGUAGAGAUCGGAAGGAACACCAGUGGCGAAGGCGGCUACCUGGCCUAAUACUGACACUGAGGCACGAAAGCGUGGGUAGCAAACAGGAUUAGAUACCCUGGUAGUCCACGCUGUAAACGAUGUCAACUAGCUGUUGGUCAUAUAAAUGUGAUUAGUGCGUAGCUAACGCGCUAAGUUGACCGCCCUGGGGAGUAUGUCGCAGAUAAAACUCAAAGAUGACGGGGGCCCGCACAGGCGGGUGGGAGCAUGGUGGUUUACUG
rnacentral:rRNA from 1 species